ensembl:lncRNA LINC01844 long intergenic non-protein coding RNA 1844
GGCAGAAUCUGGGCUCAGAGUCUAGCCCUGCAGGACCCAGUGUGGCAGCUGCGUGUCUCUGGAGCACUGGAGAGGGGGCUACUGCAAAUUAAGAUCUGCUGUAAAGAGCAUCUUCCUGGUUAUUCUCUGGGACGCAAAACCAUGGUGGUAUCUGAUCUCAUCACACUUCUGCCAGGAGGUGAAAUCGAAGAGGCUACAUUCUUGAUGCUCAGUGUCUUCUUCAGGUCAUUUGCCUGAGGACACCUGGGGAUACUGAGCUAUGAAAAGAAAACAUUUGGAAGAUCACUGAUUCCUUCAUGGAGAGGCUGGCUUGGGAAUAGAUGACGUGUCAAAGAUUGACAUCAACCUUGAGUGCUUAUUUGUGGACUUGAGAUACAGAUAAAAAAAAAAAAAAAAAAACCUCCCUAGAGUGAGGGCUACUUGGGAUACAUGCUAUAUCCCAAGGAGUUCUCAGUUUGAGGUCAGCCCCAGCUCUACAACUCACCAGGAGAGUGCGCGAGGAUGAGGGAGAGACAGCCUGCUCUGGUUCUCUUCAAGGUGACAAUGACACCUGUUGACAGAUGAGAAUUCCAGCCAGGAAUACAGAUUUAGGAAUCAUGUUUCUCACUCUCAUGAUGACAUAGAAGAGAUGCGUCUGAAUCUUUCUGCCAGUGUGUUAAAGUUAUUCUGAUAUUGACUGUAGUUCUGAGCUUUGUCUCUAUCCCACCAAACCACUAACUUCUGGAAAUUACUUGUAGACCAAGAUGGGAGGACUCCGUGUGUGGCUCCCUCUCUUCAUGUGACAAAGAAACUUCCUAAAAUACUAAAAGCUAAAGGAGAUUGUUAUCUAAGCUUGAGAUGGAAGGUUGCCAGCGGAAACUUGGAGGAUCACAGCCAGUCGCCUGGGAUUGACCACAGGGAGUGGCAGAGGCAGAAAGCAAAAGACCAGUUGCAAUUAUCCAGAAUCCUGAAUUGAGCCUGUGUUCCCAGUUCCUAGAAACCCUCAAGGUUAUUGGUUUCCUCCUCGCUUAAUAGACCAGUGGAAGAAAUCUACCUCCAGUUCUAUCUUCACAUGAGCAACUGUUUACAGUUUACAAUAUUACUCUGAAAAUCAGUUCUUUUCAAGUUUUAUCUAACACCCACCAGAAGAAACAGAAGAUUAUGAAAAUGGAAUUUGUCAAAGUUCCUCUCCCAACAAUAUGAUAUUUAAUUUUGCUAACAUUUUUUUUUGAACACUUACUAUAUUGCAGACAAUGGUCUAAGUAAAGCAUUUUAUGUGCAUCCUAUCAUGUCAUCAUCACACAGCCCUGUGAGGUAGAUACUAUUAUUAUUAACCACAUUUCACAUUCAAAAAAACUGAGGCUUAGAGAGACUAAGUAAAUUGUCCAAGGUCACACAGCCAUGAAGUGGCAGAGCUGUGGUUAAAACCUAUGUCUGUCUGAUGUUUAAGAUUUUGCUGUUAGCAUUACUUUGAAAUGACAAUAUGAGGGCAUUUUAUGUAUUUUUUUUGCCCCAAUAUGAUCUGCAGAAACUAUGUAUUUUAAGUACUACAUUUCUUUUAUUUACCAAAUUAUUGUCAGAUAAGAAACCGAAAUAAAAGUUUACAGGGUCUAGGAUUCCUCCAUAAUGAAUGAACUUUGGGGUAUUUCAGUGACAAAUUGGCUUUAACGCGAUCAAAUUCCAUCCUACAAUGAAAGUGUGUUAGUUUGUGGUUUCAAGUUUAAAAACAGCACUGUAUUGUCUUCCAGAAAUAUAUAAAUAGAAAUUCAAGAAGUAUUUCAAUGAAUACAGAUAAAAUUAGUUUUGUUAGAACAUCAAAUAUGUGGGUUUCAUUUCUUAGCUCAGUUUAGAAACUGUAAUUUCAAUUUUUUUUAGCAGCUGUGGUAAAUUUUGAGAUUUGAAAUUUCAUAUAAUAUAAAUCCUCAUUUAUUGAGCAUUUAAAUUAUAUGCCCAACAAUUUACUGUGUACAUUACUUCACUUGUUCUUAACUAUAACUCUACAAAAUAUUAUUGUCCUUGAUUUAUAGAUGAAGAUAUUGAGACUCAGUUAAGUAACUUGCUUGAAAUUCAAAAACGUUAACUGUGGAAGGCAGUAUUUGAACCCAGUGUUCAAAACCCCAUGCUCUUUUUAUUAUAUGACCUUAUUUCCUAUUCAGUCUUCAGAAGAUAUAUUGUCUUAUUAGAUUAUUCUCGUUCUCUAAAUAAGUGACCUUGGGCAACUAUCUUUUUCCCUGGUAUUUUCCCCUGCCUUUAAAACAAUGUGAUCAAACUGGAAGUUUUUCACGAUCUCUCUUAGCCCUAAAGCUCCUUGGUUCUGUAAUUCCACCAAUAGCCCAUUUCAAAAAUAAUUCUACAGUAAUCAGUGGGACUCCUGUUUUUCCCAUCUUUUUUUUUUUUGAAACAGAAAAUUGAAACUUUUAAAUUAGUUUAGUAAAUACAUCUACUAGUUUUUUUCUUUUAUAGUCAUGGUUAUAUUAUUUGGUCCUUCUUAGUUGCAACAUGUUUCCUUGCUGUCAAUUUAUAAUACCUCUCAUCAACAAUAGCCUGAAGAAAUAGAUUUGAAUUGCUUUCCCUAAUUUAUAGCUGGAAAACUAGGCUACGCUGGUAUCUUAAAUUGACUUUCCUGAGGUCACGGGCACUCAGUGCCAAGAGGAGUUGGUACCUACGCAUUUGAAAUUUCUGGAUUUCUGGUCUUACUCUGUACUUAGUCACUCUUUUCUUUCAUUUGGCCCUAUGGUGGGCAAACUACAGCCUACAGGCCAAUUCCAGCCUACCAUCUGUUUUUGUAUGGUCCAUGAACUAAGAAUGGUUAUCACAUUUUAAAAUGGUGGGAAAAAAAGACUAUUUUGUGACAUAAAAAUUAUAUGAAAUCCAAA